rnacentral:lncRNA from 1 species
CCCUUCCCUUUCUAACACCUAGAACUCCUAGAUACCGAGGCUUUAGUAAAUGGGUUGGUCAAGUUUUUCUUUUUGUUGAUCUUCUAAAGAUUGACGUCACCUUAACAGAUUUUUCAAAUAAGAUGGUAGUGAUGCAAAAUACCUAGUAAGCUAAUGGGACUUCGGCUACUUGGCAUGAGCUAUGGCUCCGGUGCUGUACAAUACAACAGGACCAUCAUCAAAGC